GCACUUAGGGAUUUUAAACCCAGGAUCUUCAAGCCCAACCACCACACUGUAAGAACCCAUACAGGAAUGUAGGUAGACAUUUCACAUGACAGCUUUGGUGGAGCUCCUAGUGAGCACUCAGAAACAAUGGGGACGAGAGCGAGAAUGAUUCAACGUGCUUCCAGCGGCAAAAGUCAAACUGGCUAUGAGAGAAAGCUCGAGAGAGAUUGCCCAGCUAAAUGAAGGCCGCACCAGAAUCUGAGGUGCUGAUGCAACAUGACCAGCUCCCCUCAGGUUUCUGCUGCUAUGGCUUCAGUGCUAUGAUGGACUGUAACCUGAAACUGUGAGUUAACACCCAGCUGUUCAUAGUUGGACCUUCCCGAACAAGGCAACCUGGAAACAGCUGUACAGGGACUGUCCUGCUGCCACCCUCUACCUUCAGUCCUGACAUUUAAAAGCUCUAAAAUGAAUAUCCAGAAAGUCACAGAAUCUAAGACACUGCUCCUUUCAAUUAAGGCUCACCCGGGACUUUAAACAAUGUGAUCCAUUAACCCAGCUCAGGAAGAGCUGAGUGCUUUCUCCUCCUUGCCUCUGUCUGUGAGUCUGCAUACGAUGCUCCACAUGAGGAAGGCUAAGAACUUGGAAGCCUGUUGGCUUAUGCAGUAGACCGGUCCCUGUGGGGCUUGGCUUUCUCAGUGACCUUGGAUCCUGAGAUGCUAAGCAAGUAAGGAAGAAAAGCCAAAGUUCUCCAGG
ensembl:antisense uncharacterized LOC110326059